GGGGAUUUGGCUCAGUGGUAGAGCGCUUGCCUAGCAAAUGCAAGGCCCUGGGUUCGGUCCCCAGCUCCG
rnacentral:tRNA from 1 species